ACUCUGUACGGAGUUACAAAGGACGACAUUAGACGAAUCAUCUGGAAAGAUGAAUCAAAGAAGGUAAUAAUCCUGUAGUCGAAAAUGUUGUCUCUCUUGAGUGGAUCCUGAGUACGACGGAGCACGUGAAAUUCCGUCGGAAUCUGGGAGGACCAUCUCCUAAGGCUAAAUACUCUCUAGUGACCGAUAGUGAACCAGUACCGUGAGGGAAAGGUGAAAAGCACCCCGGAAGGGGAGUGAAAUAGAACCUGAAACCGUGUGCUUACAAGUAGUCAGAGCCCGUUAAUGGGUGAUGGCGUGCCUUUUGUAGAAUGAACCGGCGAGUUACGAUUUGAUGCAAGGUUAAGCAGUAAAUGUGGAGCCGUAGCGAAAGCGAGUCUGAAUAGGGCGUUUAGUAUUUGGUCGUAGACCCGAAACCAGGUGAUCUACCCUUGGUCAGGUUGAAGUUCAGGUAACACUGAAUGGAGGACCGAACCGACUUACGUUGAAAAGUGAGCGGAUGAACUGAGGGUAGCGGAGAAAUUCCAAUCGAACCUGGAGAUAGCUGGUUCUCUCCGAAAUAGCUUUAGGGCUAGCCUCAAGUGAUGAUUAUUGGAGGUAGAGCACUGUUUGGACGAGGGGCCCCUCUCGGGUUACCGAAUUCAGACAAACUCCGAAUGCCAAUUAAUUUAACUUGGGAGUCAGAACAUGGGUGAUAAGGUCCGUGUUCGAAAGGGAAACAGCCCAGACCACCAGCUAAGGUCCCAAAAUAUAUGUUAAGUGGAAAAGGAUGUGGCGUUGCCCAGACAACUAGGAUGUUGGCUUAGAAGCAGCCAUCAUUUAAAGAGUGCGUAAUAGCUCACUAGUCGAGUGACACUGCGCCGAAAAUGUACCGGGGCUAAACAUAUUACCGAAGCUGUGGAUUGUCCUUUGGACAAUGGUAGGAGAGCGUUCUAAGGGCGUUGAAGCAUGAUCGUAAGGACAUGUGGAGCGCUUAGAAGUGAGAAUGCCGGUGUGAGUAGCGAAAGACGGGUGAGAAUCCCGUCCACCGAUUGACUAAGGUUUCCAGAGGAAGGCUCGUCCGCUCUGGGUUAGUCGGGUCCUAAGCUGAGGCCGACAGGCGUAGGCGAUGGAUAACAGGUUGAUAUUCCUGUACCACCUAUAAUCGUUUUAAUCGAUGGGGGGACGCAGUAGGAUAGGCGAAGCGUGCGAUUGGAUUGCACGUCUAAGCAGUAAGGCUGAGUAUUAGGCAAAUCCGGUACUCGUUAAGGCUGAGCUGUGAUGGGGAGAAGACAUUGUGUCUUCGAGUCGUUGAUUUCACACUGCCGAGAAAAGCCUCUAGAUAGAAAAUAGGUGCCCGUACCGCAAACCGACACAGGUAGUCAAGAUGAGAAUUCUAAGGUGAGCGAGCGAACUCUCGUUAAGGAACUCGGCAAAAUGACCCCGUAACUUCGGGAGAAGGGGUGCUCUUUAGGGUUAACGCCCAGAAGAGCCGCAGUGAAUAGGCCCAAGCGACUGUUUAUCAAAAACACAGGUCUCUGCUAAACCGUAAGGUGAUGUAUAGGGGCUGACGCCUGCCCGGUGCUGGAAGGUUAAGAGGAGUGGUUAGCUUCUGCGAAGCUACGAAUCGAAGCCCCAGUAAACGGCGGCCGUAACUAUAACGGUCCUAAGGUAGCGAAAUUCCUUGUCGGGUAAGUUCCGACCCGCACGAAAGGCGUAACGAUUUGGGCACUGUCUCAACGAGAGACUCGGUGAAAUCAUAGUACCUGUGAAGAUGCAGGUUACCCGCGACAGGACGGAAAGACCCCGUGGAGCUUUACUGUAGCCUGAUAUUGAAAUUCGGCACAGCUUGUACAGGAUAGGUAGGAGCCUUUGAAACGUGAGCGCUAGCUUACGUGGAGGCGCUGGUGGGAUACUACCCUAGCUGUGUUGGCUUUCUAACCCGCACCACUUAUCGUGGUGGGAGACAGUGUCAGGCGGGCAGUUUGACUGGGGCGGUCGCCUCCUAAAAGGUAACGGAGGCGCUCAAAGGUUCCCUCAGAAUGGUUGGAAAUCAUUCAUAGAGUGUAAAGGCAUAAGGGAGCUUGACUGCGAGACCUACAAGUCGAGCAGGGUCGAAAGACGGACUUAGUGAUCCGGUGGUUCCGCAUGGAAGGGCCAUCGCUCAACGGAUAAAAGCUACCCUGGGGAUAACAGGCUUAUCUCCCCCAAGAGUUCACAUCGACGGGGAGGUUUGGCACCUCGAUGUCGGCUCAUCGCAUCCUGGGGCUGUAGUCGGUCCCAAGGGUUGGGCUGUUCGCCCAUUAAAGCGGUACGCGAGCUGGGUUCAGAACGUCGUGAGACAGUUCGGUCCCUAUCCGUCGUGGGCGUAGGAAAUUUGAGAGGAGCUGUCCUUAGUACGAGAGGACCGGGAUGGACAUACCUCUGGUGUACCAGUUGUCGUGCCAACGGCAUAGCUGGGUAGCUAUGUGUGGACGGGAUAAGUGCUGAAAGCAUCUAAGCAUGAAGCCCCCCUCAAGAUGAGAUUUCCCAACUUCGGUUAUAAGAUCCCUCAAAGAUGAUGAGGUUAAUAGGUUCGAGGUGGAAGCAUGGUGACAUGUGGAGCUGACGAAUACUAAUCGAUCGAAGACUUAAUCAA
rnacentral:rRNA from 1 species